rnacentral:rRNA from 1 species
GAUGAACGCUGGCGGCGUGCCUAAUACAUGCAAGUCGAGCGAACAGAUAAGGAGCUUGCUCCUUUGACGUUAGCGGCGGACGGGUGAGUAACACGUGGGUAACCUACCUAUAAGACUGGGAUAACUUCGGGAAACCGGAGCUAAUACCGGAUAAUAUUUCGAACCGCAUGGUUCGAUAGUGAAAGAUGGUUUUGCUAUCACUUAUAGAUGGACCCGCGCCGUAUUAGCUAGUUGGUAAGGUAACGGCUUACCAAGGCGACGAUACAUAGCCGACCUGAGAGGGUGAUCGGCCACACUGGAACUGAGACACGGUCCAGACUCCUACGGGAGGCAGCAGUAGGGAAUCUUCCGCAAUGGGCGAAAGCCUGACGGAGCAACGCCGCGUGAGUGAUGAAGGUCUUCGGAUCGUAAAACUCUGUUAUUAGGGAAGAACAUACGUGUAAGUAACUGUGCACGUCUUGACGGUACCUAAUCAGAAAGCCACGGCUAACUACGUG